rfam:Listeria monocytogenes EGD-e, complete genome
UAAAUAGUAGUUAUUUCUUUAUAACUCUCAUAAGAGAAUAUCUAUUCAUUCCCACAUCGCUUCUGAUUCCCACAGAUCAAAAGC